GAUGAACGCUGGCGGCGUGCCUAAUACAUGCAAGUCGAGCGAAGCGGGGACGGGUGAGUAACACGUGGAUAACCUCCUAUAAGACUGGGAUAACUUCGGGAAACCGGAGCUAAACCGGAUGCUUAUAGAUGGAUCCGCGCUGAAUUAGCUAGUUGGUAAGGUAACGGCUUACCAAGGCAACGAUGCAUAGCCGACUUGAUAGGGUGAUCAGCCACACUGGGACUGAGACACGGUCCAGACUCCUACGGGAGGCAGCAUUGGGUAAUCUUCCGCAAUGGGCGAAAGCCUGAUGCAGCCAUGCCGCGUGUAUGAAGAAGGCCUUCGGGUUGUAAAGUACUUUCAGCGGGGAGGCGUUACCCGCAGAAGAAGCACCGGCUAACUCCGUGCCAGCAGCCGCGGUAAUAC
rnacentral:rRNA from 1 species